UACGUAGGCAGCGAGCGUUGUUCGGAGUUACUGGGCGUAAAGGGUGUGUAGGCGGUUAUUUAAGUUUGGUGUGAAAUCUCCCGGCUCAACCGGGAGGGUGCGCCGAAUACUGAAUGACUUGGAGUGCGGGAGAGGUGAGUGGAAUUCCUGGUGUAGCGGUGAAAUGCGUAGAUAUCAGGAAGAACACCAAUGGCGAAGGCAGCUCUCUGGGACGGUACUGACGCUGAGACGCGAAAGCGUGGGGAGCGAACAGG
rnacentral:rRNA from 1 species